GCCCUCUUAGGGUCACACCUGGAGAGUUUCCAGUAAUCUUCCAGUCUCGAUUAUGAGAGGGAGAGUCAAGUAGAGGCCUGUCCGUUCCAUUUCUAGCUUGGGCAGUGGCUAGUGAGUGGAAGACAAACUGCUAUAAGU